rnacentral:rRNA from 2 species
UUUAAGUCUCCUGAAGGAACGUUGAAGACGACGACGUUGAUAGGCCGGGUGUGUAAGCGCAGCGAUGCGUUGAGCUAACCGGUACUAAUGAACCGUGAGGCUUAACCUU